ACAUCCGCCAUCGGCUGUAGUUCCUGUGCUGCGCUCGCCUUGGUUGCCCACCGCAGCACAUGCACCAUCGCCUCAAGCCGACGUGACUCGCCUCAAGUCGUCGUGGCUCGCCUCACCACGCCGGUUCGCCGGUAUGCCUCCGCCUCCACCAUGGACUAGCGCCGUCAAGCUGCCCCGGCCGAUUCGCCGCCGCGAGCUCCACCUCAAGUCGCCAUGCCCUGCUCCCGCUGCUGUCCUCCGCUGUCGCACCACGAGCCGCCUCGCCACCUCGGUCGGCACCACUGCGUCGCGCUGUCCUCACCAUGAGCCGCCGCGACGCGCCUUCUUCCACUGCCCACGUCGUCGGUGCUACCUCCACGG
rnacentral:lncRNA from 1 species